rnacentral:rRNA from 1 species
UACGUAGGGAGCAAGCGUUGUUCGGAUUUACUGGGCGUAAAGGGCGCGUAGGCGGCGCGGUAAGUCACUUGUGAAAUCUCUGAGCUUAACUCAGAACGGCCAAGUGAUACUGCAGUGCUAGAGUGCAGAAGGGGCAAUCGGAAUUCUUGGUGUAGCGGUGAAAUGCGUAGAUAUCCGGAGGAAGACCGGUGGCGAAGGCGGCCUGCUGGGCAGAUACUGACACUGAGGCGCGACAGCGUGGGGAGCAAACAGG